rnacentral:rRNA from 1 species
UACGUAGGGUGCAAGCGUUGUUCGGAAUUAUUGGGCGUAAAGCGCGUGUAGGUUGCUAAGUAAGUCGAUUGUAAAAGCCCUAGGCUCAACCAAGGAAGUGCAUUCGAAACUACUUAGCUAGAGGAUGGCAGAGGAAGGUGGAAUUCCAAGUGUAGAGGUGAAAUUCGUAGAUAUUUGGAGGAAUACCGGCGGCGAAGGCGGCCCUCUGGACCAUACCUGACACUGAGACGCGAAAGCGUGGGGAGCAAACAGG